rnacentral:rRNA from 1 species
AUUAACGCUGGCGGCAUGCCUAACACAUGCAAGUCGAAUGUGCCCGCAAGGGUAACAUGGCGAACGGCUGAGUAACACGUGGGGACUUACCUUCGAGUUCAGCAUAACCUGCCGAAAGGCAGGAUAAUUCUGGAUAUUCUCGUGAGAGGAAAGAUUUAUCGCUCGAAGAGAGACCUGCGUCCGAUUAGCUUGUUGGCGGGGUAAAGGCCUACCAAGGCACUGAUCGGUAGGGGGCUUGAGAGGGUGACCCCCCAGACUGGGACUGAGACACGGCCCAGACUCCUACGGGAGGCAGCAGUGAGGGAUUUUCCACAAUGGGCGAAAGCCUGAUGGAGCAAUGCCGCGUGAAGGAAGAAGGUCUUCGGAUUGUAAACUUCUUUUGCGUAGGACGAUUAUGACGGUACUAAGCGAAUAAGGCGCUGCUAACUACGU